UUUAGUUAUUUAGAAAUAUAAAAAUCCAGUGUGGUGAGUGCGAUAACGUGGCAUCCCUGGUGUGAGGCAAACCCGUCCUCUAAACGGCACUGGCUGGCUGACUCAUGGAUGUCUGGGCGCCCUUUGAAAAUUAAUAUCAAAAUGGCGCGGAUUGCAAGUCAAAACAACAAAACAGGGUGGGUUAUUUUCAAAUGUCGAAUAAUGAACGGUUGUAUAAUGGGGGUUUCCUGUACAAGCAUACCAUACUAACCCUUGAAAAUCUUAAUCUUUACACACGCAAGAUAAUCCCCACUCAUGGCCUGGAAAA